rnacentral:rRNA from 1 species
AGUGAACGCUGGCGGUAGGCCUAACACAUGCAAGUCGAACGGCAGCACAGUAAGAGCUUGCUCUUACGGGUGGCGAGUGGCGUACGGGUGAGGAAUACAUCGGAAUCUACUUUUUCGUGGGGGAUAACGUAGGGAAACUUACGCUAAUACCGCAUACGACCUACGGGUGAAAGCAGGGGAUCUUCGGACCUUGCGCGAUUGAAUGAGCCGAUGUCGGAUUAGCUAGUUGGCGGGGUAAAGGCCCACCAAGUGGACGAUCCGUAGCUGGUCGGAGAGGAGGAUCAGCCACAUGGGAACUGGGACACGGUCAAGGGGACUGCGAGAGGCAGCAGUGGGGAAUAGUGGACAAUGGGCGCAAGCCUGAUCCAGCCAGACCGCGUGGGUGGAGAAGGCCUUCGGGUUGUAAAGACCUUUUGUUGGGAAAGAAAAGCAGCAGGUUAAGACCCCGCUGUUCUGACGGUACCGAAAGAAUAAGCACCGGCUAACUUCGUG